rnacentral:rRNA from 1 species
AGAGUAGCUUGCUUUUUAAGCUUACUGGCGAACGGGUGAGUAACCCGUGAGUAACCUGCCCUAUAGUGGGGGAUUCAGUUGGAAACGACUGCUAAUACCGCAUAAGCCCACGGUACCGCAUGGUACUGAGGGAAAAGGAUUUAUUCGCUUUAGGAUGGACUCGCGUCCAAUUAGCUAGUUGGUGAGGUAACGGCCCACCAAGGCGACGAUUGGUAGCCGGACUGAGAGGUUGAACGGCCACAUUGGGACUGAGACACGGCCCACACUCCUACGGGAGGCAGCAGUGGGGGAUAUUGCACAAUGGGGGAAACCCUGAUGCAGCGACGCCGCGUGGAGGAAGAAGGUUUUCGGAUUGUAAACUCCUGUCGUUAGGGACGAUAAUGACGGUACCUAACAAGAAAGCACCGGCUAACUACGUGCCAGCAGCCGCGGUAAAACGUAGGGUGCAAGCGUUGUCCGGAAUUACUGGGUGUAAAGGGAGCGCAGGCAGGAAGACAAGUUGGAAGUGAAAACCAUGGGUUCAACCCAUGAAUUGCUUUCAAAACUGUUUUUCUUGAGUAGUGCAGAGGUAGAUGGAAUUCCCGGUGUAGCGGUGGAAUGCGUAGAUGUCGGGAGGAACACCAGUGGCGAAAGCGGUCUACUGGGCACCAACUGACGCUGAGGCUCGAAA